UGCUAGCACUGUCCAUCGAGUUUGUAUCACGACAUGUUUCUUGUUUUCAGCUGUACUACUCUAUGAAAUCCACAAGCUUUCAGGGAUGACGCUUUCCAAGAGUGAAUCGAAAACUAAAAGGCACUGAAUGAGAUUCUGCGUAGUUUAGAAAUUUAUAUAUGAAUGAUGUGAUCAAGUGUCGACUGCGGCUUUUUACUUGUUGUUUCUAUUUAAAAUACUACACCCGAAAGAUACCAUUUUGAGAUGUAUUAGAUGUUUCUUAACAAUUCAGUAACUUGGAAGAUGACAUUACUUGUAGUACUUGGAGAAUUUCAAUGUUUUCAAUAUAAUUUUCUCUAGGCACCAAGAUGCUUUGGGAAAAAGCUUA